UUUGGACCUACCACUUUCUUAUUAUUGUUGUUAUUAUUAUCUUUUAUAAUACUCAUUGAAUUUGUCUUGUUUUGAUUCCCCAAUCUUGCUGUUCUUUCACUCUUUUUGUUAUUUGAAUUUGAUUUAUUUCGUAUACUUUUUUGUAAAAACUAAUCAAAUUACUUAUUAUAUUUGUCUUAGCGUCAUGUUAACCAAGUAAAGUAUUUAUACGAAGAAUUGUAGUAACUAUGAAAACAAAAUUCUGAUUCCACUAUAUUGCGAUCAAAAAAAUUUAUUCUCUCAAUUAUUGAGGCAGAUAAAUUUUGGCAACGGACUGAACUGAUAGACGCGGUGGGAUCUCAAUCAGACGCAUGUCACCACUGCACUCCUCUGCUAUGCUUCACGAAGAUGAUCAUAAAGUUAGUUUUCGUAUUUUUGUAUCACACCGAAAGUAUAUCUCGAUAUCACACGGUUGAAACCUAACUUAAUAUAAUGGUUAACUAGACUUAAUUUGAUUGCGGCGAGCGAGAUGACGUAAUUUCUUUUGUUCUCGGCCCUAUGGUAGCAUGCUAAGAGUUUUUUUUGUUUUGAUAAAGGGUUUGCUAGCAUACUAAGAGUUGUUCGAUACUUAGAUUUAUUAUUAUUAUUUCAUAGUCCUGUGUUCCUUGUUUACUUUCCACGAUUUUUUAGUUGCUUUGAUGAGAGUAGCUGUGAAGUAUUUAUACUCGUACAUGAACAUUCUAAUUUUCAAGAAAAUGUGGAGAGGCGUCAGAGUAGGGAUAUGUCUAUGUUUAAUUUAUGUAUAUUAGCUUUCAUUACCACGCAAGUCGUGGUCUUUGAAUAAUUUUUAUUUUUUUGUAAAAUCGUUGAAUAGUUUUUUAUUUUGCUAUUAAAUCGUCCAAUAGUUUUAUUUUGGUAAAAAAUCGUUGAAUAGUUCACAUCCCCAGCUCUAUUUAUAUCGUCUUCUCACUCAAACAUCGUAAGAUAAAUAAAUUAUAUCUGGCACCUUGACACUUUAGUUUCGAAACUUCAAUCAAGUUUUAUCUUGUAAAAAAAAGAGUGAUUUGCAUAGAAAAUAUAAAGUAACUGUUGAUUGGCUAGUUCUUUUAGGAGAAACCCGUUUGACAUUAUAUGAAUGAUCUUUGUAUAAUAGCGUUCAACUGCGAAUUUACUCUAUAUAGAUAUGCCCAUUUCAUACCUUUUCAAUCGAAUUUUUUUCAUAUACAUUUUAGCUACCAUGUAAUACACCAUGAAAAUUUUUGGGACGAAAACGAUAGUUAUCAAAACAAAUGAAGUCUAAAUAAUCUAUAGGACACCCCACUGGACAAACCCACAUGGAACUAGGAGCUAUGGAUAAGAAAUUGACGGGCUUCAUAAAUUUUGUAAAACAGAUCUAUUUAAACCAAAAUUAAUGUUAUGUUUUUUUGUAUUAUUUUACCUUUCCCUUAUUUGAUUUAAUAUGCUACCCACCUACUUUUUGUCGUACUCGUUCAGUAUGAUAACAUAGCUCAGCCAGUCAGCCGACGAUAAAAUUAUUUGAGCUAUAUCGGAAAACUACUAUUUUCAAACACAAGCGGUUUUUUCCCCAUCGGUAAUUGUUGAUGAAUAAAGUCCCACAUCGUUAGUUGGAGAAAUAAUUAAGUAAUAUAUAAAAGGUUAGAGUCAAUCCACUAAUUGUCAAUUGGUUUUAAGUUGGAAGCCCAUAAUAACCUGAAUCUAAUAUGGUAUCAGAGCCAGGUUGAUCCUUGUGGAUCCAUUCCGGCAUUAUCUAUUGUUAACAUUAUGUUAAUGUUAACCAUAUAUAUAUGCAUCUUGUAUUCUACUUUACAUGGUAUCAGAGCAUUCGAUUUUUAGGGAUCAAAAUUAAAGCUUUUGCAAGUUUUAAGAUUUGAUGAGUAUGAUCAUCGGUGGUGUUGACGAUGAUCAAGAAGAUGCCGAAGACGAUCCAGACGAAGAUAACAUAUAUGUGAAGUUCUCUUGCAUUAUUUAGUUACUUCUUAAUAUUAUUAGGGUUUUGGUACGUUAUCUAAGUCAAAGGGACUUUUUUAUUGGUUUUAGUUCUCGUGAGUGCAAGAAUUACAAAGAGAUUCAAAGGUUUAUGUUUUCUUUUAUAGGAUCAGGGUUUUCACAAAAUUUUAUGAGAUUUAUUCUAUAGUUUAGAAUAUUUCAAAGUGUUGUUUUCUCAUAGUUUGAGAUUUAUUGGUUAUAGUUUAACCAUUACGGGGGAGUUCUAGUUGAACGCUCAAAUUCUUAGGUCAAUUCUUUUUUAGUCCGGUGUAUGGACUGUCCAAGUCAUGGAUGAUUGUUUUUUGGAGCUGCAGUUGCGCCCACGGGAUGUAUUCUCAUUGUGAAGACCAAAGAAGAGCUGAAGUUUUCAUCCUCCUUGUCCAAGUUGAAGUUUAUUCCCGAAGGAAUCUACUGAUUUGUUUUCCUCGACAUAGUGUCCACGACAUACGUGGUCUGCUUUGUGAUUGCAGAUUUGCGUGUUGCAUCCCACGUUUGUCGUGCGGAGGAGUAUUAGAGAUAUGUUGGGCCGAAAGAUGUGUAUCUUACGGACCAAGAUUGUGAAGACUGUGAAACCCAUGAAGAUCCUCAAAACUAAAAGCAAAGACUUGAAGAGCAAGUUAAUCUCAAGAUAUUAUUAGCAUAUUUACAUUAAGUGUUUAGGAAAGUUAGCAUUAUCUAUUGUUAACAUUAUGUUAAUGUUAACCAUAUAUAUAUGCAUCUUGUAUUCUCUUAUUAAAUACAACACAAUAAUAUAUUCAUUCUAUUACUUUACAGUAAUACACCUUUUAUAUCAUGUUAUUGUUUCAGUGAUUUAAAUUGGAUACAUGACGAUUCAAAGUGAUUAAAUUUCAACAAUCCGACUUUGCAGUAUUUCUUGUUUCGAUUCAUUCGGCUUUGUUCUAAGUUUGUUGUAUUUUUAUCUUAGAAAUUUCAGUACUCCUGAUAUCUAUGUUUUGUUUUAUGAGAAAUUUACUUUUUAAGUCACUUAUUGACUUUAAGCACCACAAUAGAUCACUUUUUUAUACUGAAACAUUUUUUUUGCAACUAAAGCCCAACUAGGCCUGUCUUGGUCCGUGAGAGCAAUUAGGGCUAGUUACAAUUUUGAAUUUCAAAUUAGAAUUGGUUUCAUUUUUUUCUUUUAAUAUUAAGAUAUUGUAAACGCAAAGAUAUUUUCACAGUUUCUCUCAUCUUUUACUGUGAAACACAAUUACAGAGGAUGACAGUUCUAUUUUCGAUUCAUCUUCGAUUCUUCACCGAUCGCAACUUGCUGCAUGAAUUCCGCUGAGAUACCGGGUGAGGGGGAGUGCUCGUCGUGCUGGCAAAGAGGAACAGAACCCCGGUGACGCGGAGGACUUGACGGCGUUCAUUCGGCGGCCGGGAAAAGAACACGUAGUGGAUGAGUCUUUUUUAGCCAUUACUGGAAUGUUUUUGGGUUCUGCUUGAAGGUAUUGGCGAAAUGAAACAGCUCCUGGGGUCGUGCUUUGGAAACCUUUCCAGGUUGCCAGUGAGGAGGUGUGAUUUGUGUACAUGUUUACGUUUACAUGUGUUAUGCUAGGUUGUAUUAUGCGUACAAUGUUUUAUAUGUACAUUUGUACGCGUCUGUAAACUGGUAUAUUUGUGACAUUUUUUUCUUGUACAUGUGGUUGUGUGAACUUUGUACGCCCUGAUUUCUUAAUAAGUUCUGAUGUUUGUUA